AAACCCUAACCCUUUGAUCCACCAUAACUCCUCCGUCCGGGCUCCGAUCGUCACACCGUUCGCGGCCACGCGCUCAGCGCGUCGAGCUCUACCUUUUUAUCUGAACAAUUUCAUUGGUUCAAGUUAGCUUCCGGAACUUGUGGGCUCAAGCUAUUGAGCAUAUGGGUAUGGUGUAGUUUAAGAGGGUGUUUAUGCAUUGAACUUGAAUUUGGAUUACUUGGAGCUUUGUUGGUGACAAGGCUUGCUUUGGGGCUGUUUGAUUGAGCUUGGAGGGGCUGUGAUUUUAUGUUGAGAAGCUGUCUUGGGUGAAUUAAGUGAUCGG